UUUGACGGGCAGCAAGCCAAAAAUUAUAAUAGGAACUUUCAUGAAUUUUCAGUCCCUUGAAAGGUCUGCCAUGCAAUGUGUUGUGAAAAGUAUAUGUCUCAACUACAAAUCUAUCAUUACAUAGUCUCAUUUUACGUAAUCAUAUAUAAGCACUGGAACCUACCAAUGAGAUUAAUAACCUUAGCAGAGUGGAAAAUGAUUCCCAAGUCUUUGGUUACAG
rnacentral:misc_RNA from 1 species